rnacentral:lncRNA from 1 species
GUGUAUAUGUGAUCUACCCAAACUACUUCUCAUUGGAGCUGUAUUAUACAUAGGUAAAACAUAACACUUUUACCCAGUCAGAGCAGCCAAGGAACAGCACAGAGUGCCCAACAAGUUGUUUUGCUGUAUUGCACUAUUAUCAGACAUUGAAAAGUCUUUCAGUAUUCUGAGAAAUAUCUGUUAACACUUGAUAACAGAAAACAGAAGCAUAAUUAAGGACUGAGAAUUCUCAGGGGGAAUUAAUUAUGAAUUUACAGGAGCACCUGUAUUUCUGGGAAACCCAAUCUGGCUCUACUGAUUUCAAUUUGGAAGUGGCAACAGAGGAAAAAGUGUGUUCACAUUGAAGGUGCCAGGAGGAGAAAGAGGAAGAAUGGCAGAAUGAAGUCCAAAUCAACCACAGAAAGGAAACAACUUCAGCAGAUGGUUUUCAUCACUGCAUCAGUACAAGCACUGUGACCAGAAGAGGGGAAGAUGCAGCAAAUUUCUUAAAGAUGUUUGGAAUGUGUGGAUGUCAGCCAAGUCUCAGGAACUUGUUGGGGGUUAGUGGCAGCCCUAACUGCAUUU